rnacentral:rRNA from 1 species
UGCAGUCGAGGGGUAUUAGGAGCUUGCUCCUAAGAGACCGGCGCACGGGUGCGUAACGCGUAUGCAAUCUACCUUGUACAGAGGAAUAGCCCAGAGAAAUUUGGAUUAAUGCCUCAUAGUAUAUUGGGUCGGCAUCGACCUAUUAUUAAAGAUUUAUCGGUACAAGAUGAGCAUGCGUCCCAUUAGUUAGUUGGUAAGGUAACGGCUUACCAAGACGAUGAUGGGUAGGGGUCCUGAGAGGGAGAUCCCCCACACUGGUACUGAGACACGGACCAGACUCCUACGGGAGGCAGCAGUGAGGAAUAUUGGGCAAUGGAGGCAACUCUGACCCAGCCAUGCCGCGUGCAGGAAGACGGUCCUAUGGAUUGUAAACUGCUUUUAUACGGGAAGAAACACUCCGACGUGUCGGAACUUGACGGUACCGUAAGAAUAAGGAUCGGCUAACUCCGUGCCAGCAGCCGCGGUAAUACGGAGGAUCCAAGCGUUAUCCGGAAUCAUUGGGUUUAAAGGGUCCGUAGGCGGCCUUAUAAGUCAGUGGUGAAAUCUCCUAGCUCAACUAGGAAACUGCCAUUGAUACUGUAGGGCUUGAAUUAUUGUGAAGUAACUAGAAUAUGUAGUGUAGCGGUGAAAUGCUUAGAUAUUACAUGGAAUACCAAUUGCGAAGGCAGGUUACUAACAAUCGAUUGACGCUGAUGGACGAAAGCGUGGGUAGCGAACAGGAUUAGAUACCCUGGUAGUCCACGCCGUAAACGAUGGAUACUAGCUG